rnacentral:rRNA from 1 species
UGCGUAGGCGGUCUUAUAAGUUAGAGGUGAAAGCUCGGGGCUCAACUCCGGAACUGCCUCUAAUACUGUAGGACUAGAGAGUAGAUGCGGUAGGCGGAAUGUAUGGUGUAGCGGUGAAAUGCGUAGAGAUCAUACAGAACACCGAUUGCGAAGGCAGCUUACCAAACUAUAUCUGACGUUGAGGCACGAAAGCGUGGGGAGCAAACAGGAUUAGAUACCCGCGUA